CAGCACCUGGGCGAUGCUGGCGUUGGGUUCGCGUCCUUCGCGGAUGGCAGCGAAGAAUUCGCGGUCCUGCAGUUCGAUGCCGUUCAUGCUGACC
rnacentral:tRNA from 1 species